rnacentral:lncRNA from 1 species
GAUUUAAUUGCUUCUAGACAGAAACAAGUUGUAUUAUUUUAAUUGAAUAUUAGUCAGACAAGAGACAUAGCGCAAAUUAGCUAGGUAGCUGGCUAGCUAGAUAACUUGCCUUCCAACAAAAUGUCCUCUUUAGCUUCACACGCAACAUCAGAAUGUCAGCUGUCAAAAUGUAAACCCAACUAUCUAGACGAGUUGGUCAAACACCUGUACAAGAUACAACAAAGGUUUUCCACAAUAAGCAGGCCACUCCUCCUUCCAUCUCCAAUGGGCUUUGGGAAAGGUAUAAAAGCGCCACAACCAUCUUCUGCGUCAGGACCAGUUGAAGUGCAAUAUUGAAGCCUGUACUGUACGAUUCAGGAUCCAGACUCUAACCUCAAGGCAUGUUGACCAGGAAUUUUCUCAUCCUCUGCUCUCUGGCAGUUCUGCUAGUACAAGCUGACUUCGAUACUAAUAACAAUCAUGCUGCCCAAGCCAUGUCCACAGAUAAGGACUCAACCUCGGAGGAAGCUCCAACUGAGAGCAUAAAUGCCAUCUCCUCGGAUCAGCCUAACGCUCCUAAACCUAAUGGCGUCACUGGACCUGGUGUUGCAGCAAACAGUGUUGAGGACCAGGAGGAGGAUGAAAGCUCAGAUGAAGGUCUGAAAAAAAAUUAUGUUCCUCCUCCUCCUCCUCCUACGCCUCCUCCUCCUCCUCCUCCUACUCCUGCUCCACAACAAAACUCAGGAAAGUUAGUUGGGCCAGCAGGUGGGAACCGGAGAAAGGCCCCAGCCCCACAACAAAAGAGGAGAUCACGACCCUCCCGCCGUCAGCAGUGAAAUGCCAAAAAGACACACAGAGGCAAACAUUUACUUUUAGUUAAUUGCAUAGAAGAAGAAACAUAUUGUAUCCAAUUACUGUAUAUGCCAUAACAUGAACGUGUACAGAACCGUACUCGCAUGAUGAAGCUGCUUUGAUGUAUCUUGAGCAGCAGAACAGUCAGCAAGACAUGACAUAUUGUUUACUGUUACGUCUGUGGAAAAACUCAGUGGUAUGUUCAAUACAAACUCAUGGGCAUUUCUCUGUGAAUAAAAUGUAGGAUUAAAUGAACAAUGUAUUGUGAUGACAUAAAACCAGGCCUAAUAUCAUAACUGACCUUGACAUUAAGAGCCGCUGAAACUGCUCUAAAUUCACCAACCUGUUUCAAAAUAGCAAGGACCUCACUCCCAUGAAAAUACCUCAAUUUCUAAAAGAGCGCACACAUCGCACCAAAUGUCGAUCGCCGUUCGUUCGGCGUGGUGUGUUUUAUGGACCACUUGCCGGUGGGCGUCUGACUGCCAACAUUUUCGCGUGGUUUGCACUCGGUUUGCAAAUUACAGCUGGCACUCUGUUCAGAGGUGCUAAGUACUCUCGGCUGGCAAACGCUACCGGUGUGUCAGUGCCUUUAGAGAGACUCUUGCUAUUUUGAUCAUGAGCCAGUUGGUGGAAAUAUGGAGUUACAAACUAGCAAUACAAACUGUUGUUAGCUAAAGUGAAAAGACUAGAUAUUCUUUACAGAAAAAGGCUAAAGAAACCCCAUAAUUUCUCUCAGAGUUGAGGAGGAUACCUUUGACUGAUGCUGCCUACCCAAAGACUGUUAUACUGUCCUCAGUCAGCAUAUCUUUUAGUGGAUAGCCUUUCAAAACAACCCUGCUCUCGAACACAAAACCAGUGUUUCAAUCAAAAGUGUUUCUUUCUUUUUUGUUAUUGUCAUUUUUAUACACACAGUAUUCAACACAUUAUGUAUGAAACAUGUUUGAUGAAUAUCAAUUUCAAAACAUGUUUAAGUGUAAACCUCUGUAUCUUACAUCAUAUCUUUCUAAAUAAACUUCUUUGAGCAAAGUGAUA